rnacentral:rRNA from 1 species
AACGAACGCUGGCGGCGUGGAUAAGACAUGCAAGUCGCACGGGAUUUUACUUGUAGCAAUACCGGUAAAGUCCAGUGGCGCAAGGGUGCGUAACACGUGGGCAAUCUGCCGAGAAGCGGGGGAUAGCUCGCCGAAAGGCGAAUUAAUACCGCAUGUGGCCAGGGAAGACAUCUUCCUGACGCCAAAGCCGGGGCAACCUGGCGCUUCUUGAUGAGCCCGCGGCCUAUCAGCUAGUUGGUGAGGUAACGGCUCACCAAGGCUAAGACGGGUAGCUGGUCUGAGAGGGCGACCAGUCACACUGGGACUGAGACACGGUCCAGACACCUACGGGUGGCAGCAGUCGAGAAUUUUUCUCAAUGGGCGAAAGCCUGAAGGAGCGACGCCGCGUGGGGGAUGAAUGGCUUCCGGCCCGUAAACCCCUGUCAUUUGCGAACAAACCUCGUGAUUUAACAGAUGACGAGCUGAUUGUAG